rnacentral:rRNA from 1 species
CCUACGGGUGGCUGCAGUGGGGAAUAUUGGGCAAUGGGCGCAAGCCUGACCCAGCAACGCCGCGUGAAGGAAGAAGGCUUUCGGGUUGUAAACUUCUUUUGAGGGGGAAGAGUAGAAGACGGUACCUGUCGAAUAAGCCACGGCUAACUACGUGCCAGCAGCCGCGGUAAUACGUAGGUGGCAAGCGUUGUCCGGAUUUACUGGGUGUAAAGGGCGUGUAGCCGGGUUUGCAAGUCAGAUGUGAAAUCCGGGGGCUUAACCGGCGAACUGCAUUUGAAACUGUGGAUCUUGAGUACUGGAGAGGCAGACGGAAUUCCUGGUGUAGCGGUGAAAUGCGUAGAUAUCAGGAGGAACACCAGUGGCGAAGGCGGAUUGCUGGACAGCAACUGACGGUGAGGCGCGAAAGCGUGGGGAGCAAACAGGAUUAGAUACCCCUGUAGUC